rnacentral:sRNA from 1 species
GAGCGAAGCGAGAGAACGUUGCGUCAGCAACGGCCCGCAGGGCGAGCCACGAAGUGGUGAGUCAUCCUCUAUCACCGACCA